GAUGAACGCUGGCGGCGUGCCUAAUACAUGCAAGUCGAGCGAACAGACGAGGAGCUUGCUCCUCUAACGUUAGCGGCGGACGGGUGAGUAACACGUGGAUAACCUACCUAUAAGACUGGGAUAACUUCGGGAAACCGGAGCUAAUACCGGAUAAUAUAUUGAACCGCAUGGUUCAAUAGUGAAAGACGGUUUUGCUGUCACUUAUAGAUGGAUCCGCGACGCAUUAGCUAGUUGGUAAGGUAACAGCUUACCAAGGCAACGAUGCGUAGCCGCCCUGAGGGGGUGAUCGGCCACCGUGGAACUGAGAUACGGGCCAGACUCAUACGGGAGGAAGCAGUAGGGAACCUUCCGCAAUGGGCGAAAGCCUGACGGAGCAACGCCGCGUGAGUGAUGAAGGUCUUCGGAUCGUAAAACUCUGUUAUUAGGGAAGAACAAAUGUGUAAGUAACUAUGCACGUCUUGACGGUACCUAAUCAGAAAGCCACGGCUAACUACGUGCCAGCCGCCGCCGUAA
rnacentral:rRNA from 1 species